AAGUCGUAACAAGGUUUCCGUAGGUGAACCUGCGGUUGGAUCAUUAACAAAUUCAAUCAAAAUUGAGGGAAACCUCUUUUUUACACACAAUGUGAACUGUUUAUUGUCUCUGGUGGUUCUUUUGGAUACUUUUAGUAAUCUAAUCCCACUUUUUUAAAACUUAUUAUUUAUUGGCCUUUAUAUCUUAUAAAAAAGUUAAAUUAAAAAACAACUUUUGGCAACGGAUCUCUAGGCUCUU
rnacentral:misc_RNA from 1 species